GCUAUCAUCAUCAUCACCAUCACCACCAUCAUCACCACCAUCAUCACCACCAUCAUCACCACCAUCAUCAUCAUAAUCAGCAGCAGUAGCAGCAGCACAGGGUGGCAUAGAUCCCUAAUUGGCCUUGCACUUUGUGUUGCUGAGGAUAAUUCCCGAUCCUCCCUUGUCUAUCUCCUGGGUCCUGAGAUCUCAGCUUCCCUCCCUCAGGUCCCCCAGGAUUGGUCAUCACUUCUCCAUUGCUUCUGCCCUCACAAGCCCAUAUGGCCAUGCUGGUGAGAUGGCUUGCCCCAGGGAAAGGCACUCAAAGGCCGCUAAACCUUUUCCUGGGAAGCCACGCAGAGAAGGAAAGAACCAGUUCUUGCAAGUUGCCCUCUGACCUCCAGAUGUGUGCUGACACAUGUGCACUCCCAUAAGUAAAUAAAUAUACU
rnacentral:lncRNA from 1 species